CGAUGGCGCACGCGCGCAGCUGGUUUGGGUUCCGUGUUAUAGACUUUCUUCAGCAAAGAUGUCUGACAAAUAUUAGGACGCAAAUGGACUCCUGAAACAACCAGCAAACCAGGCUGUCGACUUGUGAAACAGUGGAUGUAAAGAAUCUAGCUAGCUAAAGCUUUUACUGCAAAUUGAAUGUACAAUUUUGUAAGCUUGCCUUCCUGAUAUUUGAUAUGCAAUGCAGAUAGAUGAAAUAACGUAGCUAGCUAUGUAGAAUAUAACUUUGAGUAGAUAUCUACUCAACUAAUAUUGAGUAGAAUAUAACUUUGUGCCAAGGAUACAAGUCGUAUACGUAUACAUGUAGUUAUUACCAUGCAUGAGAUCCCCACAUUGUAGCCUGUGCAUUUAAUAUAUUCACUGAUCAUGUACUCUACCUUGGCAAAUAAAGGUACAGUUCAGGUUUGAA